CAAGAAGAGCAUAUGGAGGAUGCCUUGGUAGAAGAUGCCGAUGAAGGACGUAGCAGACUGCGAUAAGCUUCGGGGAGUCGUCAAGCAGACUUUGAUCCGGAGAUGUCCGAAUGGAGAAAUCUAAUCGUGCAAACCACGAUUGUCUGUGCUUUGCACAGAAAUCCAAAAUUCGAAAUCCUAAAUCCUAAACAAAUUCAAAAUUCAAAAUAUUAAAUUUUAAACUAAAUAUGUUUAGAUAUUAUAAUUUUGAAAAUUAGAUAUUGUUUCGAAUUUAGUGCUUAGAGUUUAGAAUUUCUGCGCAGAGCGCAGUCGGGUACCUGCUGAACUGAAACAUCUUAGUAAGCAGAGGAAAAGAAAACAACAUCCCCCUUUGGGGGAAGUGUGUCUUUGGUUUUUCUUAAUGCAAAAUAAUAAAUUUAAUAUUUUUGAAUUUUGAUUUUUGCAUUUUGAUUUUGUGCCAAAGGUGCAUUGUGAUUCCCAGAGUAGUGGCGAGCGAAAUGGGAAAAGUUCUGAUUGUGAGAAAUCUAAUUUAUUAGUUGAAUGAAUCUGGAAAGGACGACCAUAGAGGGUGAUAGUCCCGUAAACAAAAAUAUUUUAGUUUUUCAAACAAUUGUUCUAAAUUGAUUUAUCAUUUUAGGGCUGAGUACUGUCGGACACGUGAAACCUGGCAGGAAUAAACGAGGAUCAUCUCGUAAGACUAAAUACAUCUUCUAACCGAUAGUGAACUAGUACCGUGAGGGAAAGGUGAAAAGUACCCCGCAACGGGGAGUGAAAUAGAACCUGAAACCAUAUGCUUACAAGGAGAUAGAGCCGUGCACAGCACGGAAAUUCGAAGCACGAAUAUCAAAAUUCUAAACAAAAUCAAAAUUCUAAAUUCAAAAUCUUAAACUGUUUUGAAAAUUAGGAUUUAUAAUUUGUUUAGGAUUUAGUAUUUCGGAUUUCGGAUUUGCCUGUUGUGCAGGGUGAUAUCGUGCCUUUUGAAGAAUGAGCCAACGAGUUGUCGAUUAUUGCAAGCUUAACCCCGCAAACGGGGGUAGGCGUAGCGAAAGCGAGUACUAACUGUGCGACAUACAAGUAAUAAUUGGCAGACCCGAAACCGGGUGAUCUACCCAUGAGCAGGAUGAAUCCACUGUAAAAGGUGUGAGGAGGUCCGAACCUACCAGCGCUGUAAAGCUGGGGGAUGACUUGUGGGUAGGGGUAAAAUGCCAAUCGAACCCGGAGAUAGCUGGUUCUCCUCGAAAUAUAUUUAGGUAUAGCGCCCAUCGAAAGCUGGCGGGUAGAGCACUGGUUUGCGUUCGGCGGCGAAAGCUGUCGGCACGAGUCAAACUCCGAAUAGUCAGUGUUAUUUGAUGAGGCAGUCAGUCCGUGAGGGCUAAGCUUCAUGUGACGAGAGGGAAACAACCCAGAUCGCCAUCUAAGGUCCCUAAAUCUAGCUAAGUGGGAAAGGAAGUUAAUUUCCCCAGACAACCAGGAGGUUGGCUUAGAAGCAGCCAUCCUUUAAAGAGUGCGUAACAGCUCACUGGUCGAUUGGAAAUUAGCGCCGAAAAUUUAACGGGGCUAAGCUAGAUACCGAAGAUGCGAAUACCCUGCUUUGCACGGAAAUCCGAAAUUCGAAAUCUUAAAUCCUAAACAAAUUAUAAAUUCAAAAUCUUAAAAUUCUAAACAAAUAAAUUGUUUUGAAAAUUACUAUUUUGAGAAUUUGAUAUUGUUUUGAAUUUAGUGCUUAGAAUUUAGAAUUUCCCUGCAGAGCAGGGUGUGGUAGAGGAGCGUCCCAACGACGUUGAAGCGGAAACGUGAGUAACCGUGGAGUAGAUUGGGAGUGAGAAUGUUGGCAUGAGUAACGAAUUAGUCAGAUGAGAAUUCUGACCACCAAAUAUCUAAGGUUUCCCCCGCAACGAUCAUCGACGGGGGGUUAGUCGGGAGCUAAGGCGUAUAAAGCGUCGAUGCACAACAGGUUGAUAUUCCUGUACCGAUCUAAAUUUGAUUUGUAGUGACGCAUUGUCAAGCUUGGUAGCAGUUUUGGAUAUAUUGCUAUUAGGGGAGAUGGUGACAAGAAAAACUUCAAAUCGUUAAGUUUAGAUUGUCCGUACCGUAAACCAACUCAGGUAGAUGGGGCGAGAAGCCCAAGGUGAUCGAAAGAACCCUUCCUAAGGAACUCGGCAAAAAAGCGAUCGUAACUUAGGGAUAAGGUCUGCCCCGUUUCGACGGGGCCGCAGCGAAAGUUUUUCAGGCGACUGUUUAUCAAAAACUUAGGUCCGUGCAUAAUGCUUAGUGCUGAAGUAUACGGGCUGAUGCCUGCCCAGUGCCGGUAGGUUACGGAGAGGAGUGAUAUUUGACGCAAGUCAGAUUGAGCUUCGAACUUAAGCCCCGGUAAACGGCAGCGGUAACUAUAACCGUUCUAUGGUAGCGAAAUUCCUUGUCGGGUAAGUUCCGACCCGCACGAAUGGCAUAACGGUCUGAAAACUGUCUCGGGAAGGGGUUCGGUGAAAUUACACUACCGGUAAAGAUGCCGGUUACCCGCAGCAAGACGGAAAGACCCCGUGGAGCUUUACUAUAACCUGGUAUUGUUUUGUUUUAUUUUCUGCUGAGGUUAGGUGGGAGGGACGUGCCUCGCACGGAAUUUCUAAUUUCUAAUUUCUAAUUUCUAAACAAAUUCUAAUUUUCAAAACCCCAAUGUCUAAAACAUUGUGUGUUUGAAUUUAGAUAUUAUUUAGGAUUUAGGAUUUAGGAUUUAGGAUUUCCUUGCGGGGCAUGCCCCGCAAGGUGAAAGACCACCCUUAAAAUAAUAUGAGACUAACUUCUAAAAAUUAGAGGAACAGUGCUUGGUUGGUAGUUUGACUGGGGCGGUCGACUCCAAAAGAGUAACGGAGUUGUCCAAAGGUUGGCUAGCGUCGGAUGGAAAUCGACGCGAUAGUGCAAAGGCAAAAGCCAGCUUAACUGCAAGACUUACAAGUCGCGCAGAUAGGAAACUAGGGCUUAGUGAUCCUCUGCUUAUGUAUGACAGUGGCAGAGCUCAACGAAUAAAAGCUACCCCGGGGAUAACAGGCUGAUCGGACCCAACAGUUCAUAUCGACGGUCCGGUUUGGCACCUCGAUGUCGGCUCAUCGCAACCUGGGGCUGUAGUAGGUCCCAAGGGUUGGGCUGUUCGCCCAUUAAAGCGGUACGCGAGCUGGGUUCAGAACGUCGCGAGACAGUUCGGUCCUAAUCUGCUGUGGGCGUUGAAACUUGAGGGAAAUUCUUCCUAGUACGAGAGGACCGGAAGGAACAAGCCUCUAGUGUACCAGUUGUCCUGCCAAGGGCAUCGCUGGGUAGCUAUGCUUGUUUAGAUAACCGCUGAAAGCAUCUAAGCGGGAAGCUAUACCCAAGAUUAGGUUUCGUUAUGAGAUUCCCCGUAGACUACGGGGUUGAUAGGCUACUGGUGUAAGUUCUGCAAAGAAUUCAGCCUGGUAGUACUAAUAU
rnacentral:rRNA from 3 species